rnacentral:rRNA from 1 species
AACGAACGCUGGCGGCGCGCCUAAUACAUGCAAGUCGAGCGAGAAGACGUAGCAAUACGUUUGUAAAGCGGCGAACGGGUGAGGAAUACAUGGGUAACCUACCCUCGAGUGGGGAAUAACUAGCCGAAAGGUUAGCUAAUACCGCGUACGCUCCUUGGACUUCGGUUCAGGGAGGAAAGCGAUACCGUGGGUAUCGCGCUCUUGGAUGGGCUCAUGUCCUAUCAGCUUGUUGGUGAGGUAACGGCUCACCAAGGCUUCGACGGGUAGCUGGUCUGAGAGGACGAUCAGCCACACUGGCACUGCGACACGGGCCAGGCUCCUACGGGAGGCAGCAGUAAGGAAUAUUGCGCAAUGGGCGAAAGCCUGACGCAGCGACGCCGCGUGGGGGAUGAAGGUCUUCGGAUUGUAAACCCCUUUCGGGAGGGAAGAUGGAACGAGCAAUCGUUCGGACGGUACCUCCAGAAGCAGCCACGGCUAACUUCGUGCCAGCAGCCGCCGUAAC